ensembl:scaRNA SCARNA6 small Cajal body-specific RNA 6
GAUCCAUGUUGAGAAAUAGGAAAGGGGCUGACUCCCCAAAUCUUUGACUGGCAUCCCUGCCACCCCCAGCCGGCUCUCCCCUUGGGCUCCAGUAGUGCAGGGAUGGGUAGAGGGCAGCGAUCCUCAGUUACGACUCAGUGCUGCGUUCCUUGGCCACUCAGGGGAGAUGCCAUGGCUGGCACCCCACAGCUGGUCACAAAAAGAUGGGAUUGUUGGGAAUACUGGACUCUGUGGCUGUGGUCUGACGUUUCAGGCUGAGACC